UUCCAGCCCGCCUUGCUGCUCUCUUGGCCAGCUUAGUUUCUACUCUGCCUUUAAAACCUCCUUCAAACUCAGUUCCUGCAGGAAUCUCCCUGAACAUUCUCACCGGGUCCCUUCCUCAGCACGUGUGCGCCAGAAUCCAUUCUCGUGUCAUUCUGGGCUUCUGUGGACACAUUCAACAUCUGAGAGCUGGAAAAGGCUCUAAGAAUGAACUAGUCUAGCUCUGCACUUCUCAGCUCAGAAACUAUGAAAACAUCGGGAAUCAGAGAAGACCAGAAGGGCAGAGAAGUGAACAGGGGUCAGAACUCCUGCCCCCCACCUCAGACCCAAGUUGGCAUUUGUACUGUGGAUCCCAGCGCCUGGAAUGUUCUCCUCCCACGAUCCUCCUGUGACUCCCACCAUCACCUCAUUCACAUAUCAUUCUCUGUCCAAAUGCCACCCCUAUGAGACCAGGACCAGCUGCUCUCUGCAGAACCGCACAAUCCGUCCCCUUCCCCUGCUUUGAUUUUAGCUGAGCUUUAGUUUAGUUCUUCGCAGCACUCGCCACUCCAUGAAAUUAUAACAGGUUUUAAGACAAAUGCUCACUUCCCCCCGACUAGAACGGGCAAGGCGCUCAGGUGACUGAUUCACCCUGAACAGUGCCGGGUAUCCAGUGCAUGCUGGAUAAGGGAAUGAAUGAACGGAGCGGGGGAGGCAGAGGGCACUGGUGUGGGGCGUGGGAAGAAGCCAGCAGGGAAGAGACAUGGAAAGUACCAGGGGUGUAGAGGGGUGGCACUUACUUGAUUUUAGCAAUGUCCUUUGGGGCAGUGAAGACGCUUGUUCCCUGAAGUUUGGGGAGCAGCUGCCGGAGGCUGGGGGGUGGGUUAUACAUCUCCAACUUCAUACUUAGCUCCAGGUCAUAGCCCUUCGUACUGCAGGAGUCGGGGAAGACAAGCAAUCAGUAACACGGAGCCCCCUCGCUUCAGAGACUUGGAGAGGGACCCUCCCUGGAGGCAAGAGUCCUACACAGCACCACUGCUGACAGGGGCCAGCAGCCUUUGCCCAAGGAAGCAGAACUCACUAUCUUACGAGGGUGCUCACCCCAAGGUUGGACCAUUCAUUCUCAGUUCUGAAAAGUGCGAUACAUUCAAAGAUACAAAUGUAACACAUAUACGUGUACAUAACAAUGUGUCCAUUAGAGAAAAAUUGGAAAAUAGGUAUAAAUCAGUGAGUAAAUAAACAACAUUUUCACCAUCCGGGGAUAAUCAAUGUUAACUUUUUGGUGGGUAGUCCUCCAGACUUUUCUCUUUGUUAAUUUGUACUAUACACAUAUUUUUAAUGAAAAAACAGCGAUCUACGGUUUGCUUUUAUAGCUCGAUAUCUUGUGAAUACCUAGCCACGUCAGAAAGAGAUGUCUGCAAAAAUUCUAUGAUUGCAUUCAUAUGAGACAGAAAGCAGAUGAGUGUUGGCUUAGGGCUGGGAGGAAAUGGGCAGUGAAAGGGAGUGACCGCUGAAGGGGGUGGGUUCCUUUCGGGGGUAACGAAACGCCCUAAAACAGCGGCGACGGCUGCACAAGCUGGGAAUAUACUAAAGACCACUGACUUGUACACUUUAAAUGGUGAACUGCAUGGGGUGCGAAUUGUCUCAAUAAAGCUGUUAACAGACA